rnacentral:tRNA from 6 species
AGCUAAAUAGUUUAAAAAUUUAAAAACAUUAAUUUUGUAAAUUAAAAUUAUAUUAAAAUUCAUUAUAAUAUUUUAGCUA